rnacentral:rRNA from 1 species
GAUGAACGCUGGCGGCGUGCCUAAUACAUGCAAGUCGAGCGAAUGGAUUAAGAGCUUACUCUUAUGAAGUUAGCGGCGGACGGGUGAGUAACACGUGGGUAACCUGCCCAUAAGACUGGGAUAAAUCCGGGAAACCGGGGCUAAUACCGGAUAAUAUUUUGAACUGCAUGGUUCAAAAUUGAAAGGCGGCUUCGGCUGUAACAUAUGGAUGGAGCCGAGUCGCAUUAGCUAGUUGGUGAGGUAACGGCUCACCAAGGGAACGAUGCGUAGCCGACCUUGGAGGGUGGUCGGCCACACUGGGACUGAGACACGGCCCAGACUCCUACGGGAGGCAGCAGUAGGGAAUCUUCCGCAAUGGACGAAAGUCUGACGGAGCAACGCCGCGUGAGUGAUGAAGGCUUUCGGGUCGUAAAACUCUGUUGUUAGGGAAGAACAAGUGCUAGUUGAAUAAGCUGGCACCUUGACGGUACCUAACCAGAAAGCCACGGCUAACUACGUGCCAGCCGCCGCGGUAA